CUGAAGGCACAUAAUGAAUUUUCCAUUUUGAUGAAAGAGUUUUGGUGAAUAUGGGUAAAAUACCUAAGCUUAAAUAAUUCUUAAGACCACAACUAGUUAUUAAUAUGUAUUCAAAAUACUGAAAAUAAUCUAUUCUGGAAUCUAGUCUAAAAUAUUCCACCAAAAUGUUACUCUUUUGGUGGAUAUUUCUAGCAGAAAAACAGAUAAAUCAAGAGGUAAGUGUUAAGGACAUCGGCAGAAGGGGAGGCCUCAUGAGUUUUCAGCGUCUGAAUAUUUAGACAGAUGUUGUAUACUAGAUUUUUACCUUCAGAGGUAUUCAAGCCAUGCCAAACUUUGUGUAGCAAAAUAUGGAAGCUGGAAUUGGGGGUUAUGUGACCUGCAUUUACUUCUGAAUACAUGUGUGCUAGGCAGAACAGGCAGCACACAUGUGUUCAUCCGUUCUGAGCUCAUUACCAAAGCAGAAGCAUGAGUUAAAAUAUGUCUUUUGCUAAUUUCUGGAGUGGAAGAGGGAACAAUGAAGCUGUAAGACACUCCAGGGUGGGCAUUAUGACCUAAUAAAGACAUGCCCUGGUAGUUUUGACAGAGUGCCAUUAACUGCCAAGGCACAUCAUUGCUCGUCUGUAAUACACACCCUGGAGUGUCUUGUCUGGAAGACGUAAAUGUUAAUUCCUAAAGAAACUCAUUCAGCAAAAGAAGACACCAAUGUUCUAAGAAGAGGAAUAUGUGAAAAUUCCACAUCUCCUGGGCUUGACCUGAUUCCAAGAGGAAUGGUGUCACUAUUAGAGGCUUUCCAACCUCCUUCCGGGAGCAGGCUGCUAUUGAUUGAAGGUGCCUCCAGGCUGAAACUCGUAGAUAAAAUAGCUCUUCUGUCUACACACAGAAUUACAUCAGAUGUAACCAUCGGGAGAAAGAAAAAUGGAACCUCCUUGCACUGGCUUUGCAACUUUAUGUGAAUCUAUAAUUAUUUCUAAAUAAAAGUUAAUCAAUAAAUAAGUACUUUUAAAAUGUG
rnacentral:lncRNA from 1 species